GAUUAGAGACCCUGGUAGUUCCUACCUUAAACGAUGCCGACAGGAGUUUGUCAUUUGUUAUGGCAGAAUCUUUGGAGAAAUCAUAGUUCUUGGGCUCUGGGGGAACUACGACCGCAAGGCUGAAACUUGAAGGAAUUGACGGAAGGGCACACCAGGGGUGGAGCCUGUGGCUUAAUUUGAAUCAACACGGGGAAACUUACCAGGACCAGAUGUUUUUUAUGACUGACAGGCUUCGGGUCUUUCAGGAUAUUGUUUUUGGUGGUGCAUGGCCGUUGGUGGUGCGUGGGUUGACCUGUCUAGCGUUGAUUCAGCUAACGAGCGAGAUUAUCGCCAAUUAUUUACUUUGCCGAAGUCCUUCGGUUAAAGUUCUAAUUGGGACUCCCUGCGAUUUUAGCAGGUGGAAGAGGGUAGCAAUAACAGGUCCGUGAUGCCCUUUAGAUGCUCUGGGCUGCACGCGUGCUACAAUGUUAGGAUCAAUAGGACUGCGAGCCUGAGAGGGUGCGCUACUCUUAUAAUCCCUAACGUAGUUGGGAUUGACGUUUGUAAUCAGCGUCAUGAACCAGGAAUCCCUUGUAAAUGUGUGUCAACAACGCACGUUGAAUACGUCCCUGCCCUUUGUACACACCGCCCGUCGCUCCUACCGAUUGGAUGACUCGGUGAAAUCACCGGAUGCUUACGAGCAGAAAGUGAUUAAAUCACGUUAUCUAGAGGAAGGAGAAGUCGUAACAAGGUAACGGUAGGUGAACCUGCCGUUGGAUC
rnacentral:rRNA from 1 species